UGGGGAAUUUUGGACAAUGGGCGAAAGCCUGAUCCAGCAAUGCCGCGUGUGUGAAGAAGGCCUUCGGGUUGUAAAGCACUUUUGUCCGGAAAGAAAUCCUUGGCUCUAAUACAGUCGGGGGAUGACGGUACCGGAAGAAUAAGCACCGGCUAACUACGUGCCAGCAGCCGCGGUAAUACGUAGGGUGCAAGCGUUAAUCGGAAUUACUGGGCGUAAAGCGUGCGCAGGCGGUUUGCUAAGACCGAUGUGAAAUCCCCGGGCUCAACCUGGGAACUGCAUUGGUGACUGGCAGGCUAGAGUAUGGCAGAGGGGGGUAGAAUUCCACGUGUAGCAGCGAAAUGCGUAGAGAUGUGGAGGAAUACCGAUGGCGAAGGCAGCCCCCUGGGCCAAUACUGACGCUCAUGCACGAAAGCGUGGGGAGCAAACAGGAUUAGAUACCCUGGUAGUCCACGCCCUAAACGAUGUCAACUAGUUGUUGGGGAUUCAUUUCCUUAGUAACGUAGCUAACGCGUGAAGUUGACCGCCUGGGGAGUACGGUCGCAAGAUUAAAACUCAAAGGAAUUGACGGGGUCAUAGCUG
rnacentral:rRNA from 1 species